AUUGAACACUGGCGGCAGGCCUAACACAUGCAAGUCGAGCGGUAGAGAGGUGCUUGCACCUCUUGAGAGCGGCGGACGGGUGAGUAAUGCCUAGGAAUCUGCCUGGUAGUGGGGGAUAACGUCCGGAAACGGACGCUAAUACCGCAUACGUCCUACGGGAGAAAGCAGGGGACCUUCGGGCCUUGCGCUAUCAGAUGAGCCUAGGUCGGAUUAGCUAGUUGGUGAGGUAAUGGCUCACCAAGGCGACGAUCCGUAACUGGUCUGAGAGGAUGAUCAGUCACACUGGAACUGAGACACGGUCCAGACUCCUACGGGAGGCAGCAGUGGGGAAUAUUGGACAAUGGGCGAAAGCCUGAUCCAGCCAUGCCGCGUGUGUGAAGAAGGUCUUCGGAUUGUAAAGCACUUUAAGUUGGGAGGAAGGGUACUUACCUAAUACGUGAGUAUUUUGACGUUACCGACAGAAUAAGCACCGGCUAACUCUGUGCCAGCAGCCGCCGUAAUAC
rnacentral:rRNA from 1 species